NNNNNGGGGUGACGCCCGAAUCCUCACUGCAAAUGUGAGACGAAUUUUUGAGCGGGUAAAGGUUGCCCCUAAGGUGACCCGCCUACUUUGCGGGAUGCCUGGGAGUCGCGAUCUGCCCG
ensembl:snRNA U12 U12 minor spliceosomal RNA